rnacentral:misc_RNA from 1 species
UUUCCGUAGGUGAACCUGCGGAAGGAUCAUUCAUAAUAAGUGUUUUAUGGCACUUUUUUAAAUCCAUAUCCACCUUGUGUGCAAUGUCAGGGUUGAUUUUUCUCUCGAGAGGAUCAGCCCCAAACAUCAACUAUAUCUCAACUCUUUGUCUGAGAAAUAUUAUGAAUAAACAAUUCAAAAUACAACUUUCAACAACGGAUCUCUUGGCUCUC